UGAGUCUUUCUGGUAUCCAAAAUGGGUUU
rnacentral:piRNA from 1 species